rnacentral:rRNA from 1 species
UACAGAGGGGGGCAAGCGUUGUUCGGAAUUACUGGGCGUAAAGGGCGCGUAGGCGGCCUGCUAAGUCGAACGUGAAAUCCCCGGGCUCAACCCGGGAACUGCGUCCGAGACUGGCAGGCUCGAAUCCGGGAGAGGGAUGUGGAAUUCCAGGUGUAGCGGUGAAAUGCGUAGAUAUCUAAGGGAACGCCUGUGGCGAAAGCGGGUGACUGGGCCUGUCCUGACGCUGAGACGCGAAAAGCGUAGGGAGCAAACGGG